rnacentral:sRNA from 1 species
GUUCCGCAAGCUCAACCACCUCCUGGAGCGCCUGCACCAGUCCUUCUUCCUCUACUUGCUCCCCGGCCUCUCCCGCUUCGUCUCCAUCGGCCUCUACAUGCCCGCUGUCGGCUUCUUGCUCCUGGUCCUUGGUCUCAAGGCUCUGGAACUGUGGAUGCAGCUGCAUGAGGCCGGAAUGGGCCUUGAGGAGCCCGGGGGUGCCCCUGGCCCCAGUGUACCCCUUCCCCCAUCACAGGUGAUGGCACCCCCUUCUGUUGUUGGAAUGGGCUUCUGGGGUCUGACUGGUGUUUAGUGUUGCAACUUAGCCUCAGCUGGUGGGAUGGUGGUGGUCUUUGGGGAUCCCCUGGCCCCAGGGUCCAUCUCCAAGAGUCUGUGUGCCCUGCAGGGUGUGGGGCUGGCCUCGCUCGUGGCACCUCUGCUGAUCUCGCAGGCCAUGGGACUGGCCCUCUAUGUCCUGCCAGUGCUGGGCCAACACGUUGCCACCCAGCACUUCCCAGUGGCAGAGGCUGAGGCUGUGGUGCUGACACUGCUGGCGAUUUAUGC